rnacentral:lncRNA from 1 species
UACAGAUAACUUUUAUUUUGAUUAAUAAAAUCUUAGCAAAUACUCCCUCCGUUUCAAUUUACAUGUACACUUUCAAGAAAUUUUUUUUUUUUUUUUUGACAAUGCAGGCUUAUAUGCCUUACAACUUAGUAUCUGUUCUAAUAAUUCUCGGGGUGAGCCAGAGUCGAACCCGGGUGCCCCGGGUCAACAGAGGAUAAACCCACCACUGGGCUAUCCAAUCGUGCUCUUCAAGAAAAUUUUUUGUUUCAAAUUACUUGUCCACUUCAACUUUCAAUGCAAAAUCAUAUUUCCAAAGUCAAUUCUACUCCACAUAUCUCUUAUUUAUAUUUCCUAGAUGAAUCUCACUCCACAUAUUUUGAUCAUUUAAUGCAAUUAAUUUGUGAACAACCACUUUUUUUAAACU